rnacentral:rRNA from 1 species
GAACUGAGGGGGAGAUAAAUUACGGGCGAGAACAUCUCCAACCCUUUGGCUUACUAGACCUCAGUUGCUUUCGGCAGUGCCCGUCUUAAUCUGACCGCUGGAGUGACCUGCACUAAUGCGGGUGUUACCUCUGGCCAGUGUCUGCCGAUAGCCUAAUCUCCUAACUCUGGAUCAAUCAUGAUUUACAAUGUCUAAGUGAUUUUAUUCAAUUAAAAGCAAAAACUUUCAACAACGGAUCUCUUGGUUCUGGCAUCGAUGAAGAACGCAGCGAAAUGCGAUAAGUAAUGCGAAUUGCAGAAUUCCAGUGAGUCAUCGAAUCUUUGAACGCACAUUGCGCCCUUUGGUAUUCCGAAGGGCAUGCCUGUUCGAGCGUCAUUAUCACCCCCUCAAGCCCCUGUGCUUGGUGUUGGACGGCUUGGUGGAGCGAGUUCACACUUUCCACCCCUCCUAAAGACAAUGACGGCGGCACUGCGGAAACCCCGGUACACUGAGCUUCUUUAUUUGAGCCACGUAUCGGAUGAACGGGUGGCCCGGGACCCAGGUCUUCUCCCUUCACCGGGAACACAUCUCUUGUGUGUAAGAUAUCCUCGACUAGCCUCUCAAAC